rnacentral:rRNA from 1 species
GUGGGGAAUUUUGGACAAUGGGCGAAAGCCUGAUCCAGCAAUGCCGCGUGCAGGAUGAAGGCCCUCGGGUUGUAAACUGCUUUUGUACGGAACGAAAAGCCUGGGGCUAAUAUCCCGGGGUCAUGACGGUACCGUAAGAAUAAGCACCGGCUAACUACGUGCCAGCAGCCGCGGUAAUACGUAGGGUGCAAGCGUUAAUCGGAAUUACUGGGCGUAAAGCGUGCGCAGGCGGUUUUGUAAGACAGUGGUGAAAUCCCCGGGCUCAACCUGGGAACUGCCAUUGUGACUGCAAGGCUAGAGUGCGGCAGAGGGGGAUGGAAUUCCGCGUGUAGCAGUGAAAUGCGUAGAUAUGCGGAGGAACACCGAUGGCGAAGGCAAUCCCCUGGGCCUGCACUGACGCUCAUGCACGAAAGCGUGGGGAGCAAACAGGAUUAGAUACCCCGGUAGUCC